AGAGUUUGAUCAUGGCUCAGAACGAACGCUGGCGGCGUGCCUAACACAUGCAAGUCGAACGCGAACGUCUUCUUCGGAGGACAAGUAGAGUGGCGCACGGGUGAGUAACGCGUAAGUAAUCUGUCCUGGCAUCUGGGAUAACCUAUCGAAAGGUGAGCUAAUACCGGAUACGUCCUGGGGGAGAAAGACCGCCUCUGAUAUAAGCGGUUGUGCGAGGAGGAGCUUGCGUACCAUUAGCUGGUUGGUGGGGUAAUGGCCUACCAAGGCGACGAUGGUUAGCGGGUCUGAGAGGAUGAUCCGCCACACUGGAACUGAAACACGGACCAGACUCCUACGGGAGGCAGCAGUGAGGAAUAUUGCGCAAUGGGGGCAACCCUGACGCAGCGACGCCGCGUGGAUGAUGAAGGCCUUCGGGUUGUAAAAUCCUGUCAGAUGGGAAGAAGUGUACGAUGGUUAAGAGCUGUCGUAUUUGACGGUACCAUCAAAGGAAGCACCGGCUAACUCCGUGCCAGCAGCCGCGGUAAUACGGAGGGUGCGAGCGUUGUUCGGAUUUACUGGGCGUAAAGCGCGCGUAGGCGGUGUGAUCAGUCAGCUGUGAAAGCCCAUGGCUCAACCAUGGACGUGCAGUUGAAACUGUCAGACUUGAGUACUGGAGGGGGUGGUGGAAUUCCCGGUGUAGAGGUGAAAUUCGUAGAUAUCGGGAGGAAUACCGGUGGCGAAGGCGACCACCUGGCCAGAUACUGACGCUGAGGUGCGAAAGCGUGGGGGAGCAACAGGAUUAGAUACCCUGGUAGUCCACGCCGUAAACGAUGAGAACUAGGUGUUGGGAUGGAUCCCAUUUCAUUGCCGGAGCUAACGCAUUAAGUUUCUCGCCUGGGGAGUACGGUCG
rnacentral:rRNA from 1 species